GAUGAACGCUAGCGAUAGGCCUAACACAUGCAAGUCGAGGGGCAGCAUAGAGUAGCAAUACUUUGAUGGCGACCGGCGCACGGGUGAGUAACACGUAUGCAACCUACCUACAUCAGGGGAAUAACCCGGAGAAAUUCGGACUAAUACCGCAUAAUACAGGGAUGCCGCAUGGCAAUAUUUGUUAAAGAUUUAUCGGAUGUAGAUGGGCAUGCGUUCCAUUAGCUGGUUGGUAAGGUAACGGCUUACCAAGGCAACGAUGGAUAGGGGAACUGAGAGGUUUGGCCCCCACACUGGAACUGAGACACGGACCAGACUCCUACGGGAGGCAGCAGUGAGGAAUAUUGGUCAAUGGACGAGAGUCUGAACCAGCCAAAUCGCGUGAAGGAAGACUGCCCUACGGGUUGUAAACUUCUUUUGUACAGGAAUAAAAGACAUUACGUGUAAUGUAUUGCAUGUACUGUACGAAUAAGCAUCGGCUAACUCCGUGCCAGCCGCCGCCGUAA
rnacentral:rRNA from 1 species